GAGGAGCCCAUUGCGUUACCAUCUCGGUGAUCAGGAAAAUAUGGAACAAAUGACCAGUUUGAGAUUGAAUGUCAGAGGAAGAAAUGUGUGUGUUUAUCUUCUACUCUUCCGUUUUCUUCACUUUACUUUUUUGGGCUGCCCUGGAGGAACCAUAAGAAACUACUUAGUAGCUCUCUCAUUCAAGACAAUUUUGGCCACAGUUUCUCUUGGAACUGCUGGCACUGGCCAAUUAUCGGCGCCUAUCUGUCAAAGGGAAAAGAGACACAGAGACAGACCUGACAGUGAGAAG
rnacentral:lncRNA from 1 species